CAGCCGCCGCGGUAAUACGUAGGUGGCAAGCGUUGUCCGGAAUUAUUGGGCGUAAAGCGCGCGCAGGCGGAUCAGUUAGUCUGUCUUAAAAGUUCGGGGCUUAACCCCGUGAUGGGAUGGAAACUGCUGAUCUAGAGUAUCGGAGAGGAAAGUGGAAUUCCUAGUGUAGCGGUGAAAUGCGUAGAUAUUAGGAAGAACACCAGUGGCGAAGGCGACUUUCUGGACGAAAACUGACGCUGAGGCGCGAAAGCCAGGGGAGCGGACGGGAUUAGAUACCCCAGUAGUCCCUGUCUCUUAUACC
rnacentral:rRNA from 1 species